rnacentral:rRNA from 1 species
UACGAAGGGGGCUAGCGUUGCUCGGAAUCACUGGGCGUAAAGCGCACGUAGGCGGAUCUUUAAGUCAGAGGUGAAAUCCUGGAGCUCAACUCCAGAACUGCCUUUGAUACUGGGGAUCUUGAGUCCGGGAGAGGUGAGUGGAACUGCGAGUGUAGAGGUGAAAUUCGUAGAUAUUCGCAAGAACACCAGUGGCGAAGGCGGCUCACUGGCCCGGAACUGACGCUGAGGUGCGAAAGCGUGGGGAGCAAACAGG